rnacentral:rRNA from 1 species
AGAGUUUGAUCCUGGCUCAGGAUGAACGCUAGCGACAGGCCUAACACAUGCAAGUCGAGGGGUAACAGGGUUGCUUGCAACCGCUGACGACCGGCGCACGGGUGAGUAACGCGUAUGCAACCUACCUUAUACUGGGGGAUAGCCCAGAGAAAUCUGGGAUUAAUACCGCAUAACACUUAAAUUUCGCAUGUUAUUUAAGUUAAAACUCCGGUGGUAUAAGAUGGGCAUGCGUAGCAUUAGUUAGUUGGUGAGGUAACGGCUCACCAAGACGAUGAUGCUUAGGGGGUCUGAGAGGAUAGUCCCCCACACUGGUACUGAGACACGGACCAGACUCCUACGGGAGGCAGCAGUGAGGAAUAUUGGUCAAUGGGCGCAAGCCUGAACCAGCCAUGGUCGCGUGCAGGAUGACGGCCCUAUGGGUUGUAAACUGCUUUUUUACGGGAAUAAACUUUGCUACGUGUAGCGAACUGAAGGUACCGUAUGAAUAAGGAUCGGCUAGCUCCGUGCCAGCAGCCGCGGUAAUACGGAGGAUUCGAGCGUUAUCCGGAUUUAUUGGGUUUAAAGGGUGCGCAGGCGGAGGAUUAAGUCAGUGGUGAAAUCUCACAGCUCAACUGUGAAACUGCCAUUGAAACUGAUUUUCUUGAAUACGGUUGAGGUAGGCGGAAUACGUUAUGUAGCGGUGAAAUGCUUAGAUAUAACGUAGAACACCGAUUGCGAAGGCAGCUUACUAAGCCGUUAUUGACGCUGAGGCACGAAAGCGUGGGGAGCGAACAGGAUUAGAUACCCUGGUAGUCCACGCCGUAAACGAUGAUUACUCGUUGUGCGCGAUACAUUGUGCGCGACUGAGCGAAAGCAUUAAGUAAUCCACCUGGGGAGUACGUUCGCAAGAAUGAAACUCAAAUGAAUUGACGG